GNACACGAGCGGNGCCUACCGUAGGGGAGGAGCCGUCGAAGGUGGGGUCGGUGAUUGGGGUG
rnacentral:rRNA from 1 species